rnacentral:rRNA from 1 species
GACGAACGCUGGCGGCGUGCUUAACACAUGCAAGUCGAACGCUGAAGCACCAGCUUGCUGGUGUGGAUGAGUGGCGAACGGGUGAGUAAUACGUGAGUAACCUGCCCUUGACUCUGGGAUAAGCCCGGGAAACUGGGUCUAAUACUGGAUGCUACAUGUCACCGCAUGGUGGUGUGUGGAAAGGGUUUACUGGUCUUGGAUGGGCUCACGGCCUAUCAGCUUGUUGGUGAGGUAAUGGCUCACCAAGGCGACGACGGGUAGCCGGCCUGAGAGGGUGACGGGCCACACGGGGACUGAGACACGGCCCAGACUCCUACGGGAGGCAGCAGUGGGGAAUAUUGCACAAUGGGCGAAAGCCUGAUGCAGCGACGCCGCGUGAGGGAUGACGGCCUUCGGGUUGUAAACCUCUUUCAGCAGGGAAGAAGCCACAAGUGACGGUACCUGCAGAAGAAGCGCCGGCUAACUACGUGCCAGCAGCCGCAGUAA